rnacentral:rRNA from 1 species
UAGGGAAUCUUCGGCAAUGGACGAAAGUCUGACCGAGCAACGCCGCGUGAGUGAAGAAGGUUUUCGGAUCGUAAAACUCUGUUGUUAGAGAAGAACAAGGAUGAGAGUAGAAUGUUCAUCCCUUGACGGUAUCUCACCAGAAAGCCACGGCUAACUACGUGCCAGCAGCCGCGGUAAUACGUAGGUGGCAAGCGUUGUCCGGAUUUAUUGGGCGUAAAGCGAGCGCAGGCGGUUUCUUAAGUCUGAUGUGCAAGCCCCCGGCUCAACCGGGGAGGGUCAUUGGAAACUGGGUGACUUGAGUGCAGAAGAAGAGAGUGGAAUUCCAUGUGUAGCGGUGAAAUGCGUAGAUAUAUGGAGAAACACGAGUGGCGAAGGCGUCUCUCUGGUCUGUAACUGACACUGAUGCUCGAAAGCGUGGGGUGCAAACAGG